rnacentral:rRNA from 1 species
CAAGAGUUUGAUCCUGGCUCAGGACGAACGCUGGCGGCGUGCCUAAUACAUGNNNNNNGAGCGAGCUUGCCUAGAUGAUUUUAGUGCUUGCACUAAAUGAAACUAGAUACAAGCGAGCGGCGGACGGGUGAGUAACACGUGGGUAACCUGCCCAAGAGACUGGGAUAACACCUGGAAACAGAUGCUAAUACCGGAUAACAACACUAGACGCAUGUCUAGAGUUUGAAAGAUGGUUCUGCUAUCACUCUUGGAUGGACCUGCGGUGCAUUAGCUAGUUGGUAAGGUAACGGCUUACCAAGGCAAUGAUGCAUAGCCGAGUUGAGAGACUGAUCGGCCACAUUGGGACUGAGACACGGCCCAAACUCCUACGGGAGACAGCAGUAGGGAAUCUUCCACAAUGGACGAAAGUCUGAUGGAGCAACGCCGCGUGAGUGAAGAAGGGUUUCGGCUCGUAAAGCUCUGUUGGUAGUGAAGAAAGAUAGAGGUAGUAACUGGCCUUUAUUUGACGGUAAUCAACCAGAAAGUCACGGCUAACUACGUGCCAGCAGCCGCGGUAAGACGCCUA